GACGAACCGUGCGAACGUUAUUCGGAAUCACUGGGCUUAAAGGGUGCGUAGGCGGGCCGGAAAGUCAGGGGUGAAAUCCUCCAGCUCAACUGGAGAAGCGCCUUUGUUACUGCCGGCCUCGAGGGGUGCAGGGGCAUGCGGAACUCAGGGUGGAGCGGUGAAAUGCGUAGAUAUCCUGAGGAACACCGGUGGCGAAAGCGGCGUGCUGGACACCUUCUGACGCUGAGGCACGAAAGCCAGGGGAGCGAACGGG
rnacentral:rRNA from 1 species